CGAGCGAAUGAACGAGUGAACGAGCGAGCGAGCGAACGCGCUCGACUCUCCUGACAAACGCGAUUUCAUUACGUAAAACAAGUGUGCGUCGUUCGAACCUUGCUGCCCGUUCGCCAUUCAUUCGCUAUAGAAACGACGCGUCGAUUUUGCAGUCUGACGUCGAAUCGACUUUGAAAUUUUAUUAUUCAACGCUCCGAUAAUUUUCGCCAGAACACAGUGUACUUCACGCACGCACGCACGCACACACAGACACACAUCGGGGAUGAAGACUUAUAAAGCGGUUUCCAAAAGAAAAACAUUUAAACAGAUGGAAGCAAAAGAGGGAAAACGCGGAAGGAAAAGGCGCGAAGAAAACGGGCGUGCGCUUAGCACUGACUAUAACCCCAUUUGGUAGCAAAGCGAGAGAAAUCCAUUCCAAGGCACGCGGAACAUUACCCAAACCAUCUCACCAUCGCGGAGCCUGAAGCCCAGCCACGGUUGCUAUAGUGACCGCGUCCAUCCUCCCCUGCGUUUGCUUGUCUCAUACACAUACACCAUCCCUCCGUACGCUUCCCUUUACUCUCUCUCUUUACUCCCUUUUUCUCUCUCUCUCUCUCCCUUCUACUAUGACUAUCCCCCUUAUUCACCUCCGCUAUCCUCACUACCCUCACCUAUCCCCACGCUAUCGACACCCCCUUGCCAUUUUCCUUCCCCUCGUUCCCUGCAUCCCUUAUCCCCUUCCCCGACACGGCGUCAGCCGAUAUCAAACUGCGAUAUCAAUUACCACGACGGCAAACUACCGCACGAAGCCCGGCGAUGAAUUUACGGGUCGGAGCACGUGUUUUAUGCAGUUUGUCGGACGACAGAGUGAAUAUUGGGAUGCGGCAUGGAGAAGAGAGUAUAAACGCGCGCAUCCAGAUUAUCCGCAACAAUCGUCGCUGCAAUUUGGCACGCUACGCGCAAAAAGCAUAUGCUCUCUGAUUAAUCGCCGAGUCGAACAUGGAUUCUCUUCGACGCGCCAUUAAAAUGCCUGGCAUCGCUGCCUUCCAAAUGUAUGCGUGCAUGCAUACGGUAUGGUUAGCGAUACGAGAUUGACUGCCGCACGGCGUCAUAUACCUCGUUAUACGGUUACCGGUUAUACGCUGAAACUUGGCGAAGUUGGCAUCUGCCUUCGGCAAGCCCGGGGAAACUGCCGGAAAAGGGAGACGCGAGGACGUUGAGAGUCAGGUAGGAGGCGUGGCCGCCGGGAAAUACGAGAACUGACGAGAGAGAGAGAGAGAGAGAGAGAGUACAGGAAUACAAGGCGGCGAAAGUGUGCGCGAACUUCCAACACGUAAUUACGAACUCGGCCGAACAGCCGAGAGAUUUAAUUAACGAAUCGAGUAGCGAAUUUUUAAUUGCGUUAUCAAUUCCGCGAUUACUUGGUUGCAUUCGAGAUGUAACAUUGAACUCUUUAGAGCGACUGAAUUUUUUUAAUUGCGAAAGCGGAACUUUAGUUGGCUUCUGCGAGACGUAACUGUAAAAAAAAAGUAGUUUAAGAAAGGAAGAAAGCGAAAAACACACGACAAAAUAAAUCUCAUUCGAUCUAAUUUCUUCAACAUCGAGAGGAGAAACAGUUUUCGGAACGAUUCUUGGUGAGCGCAAAAUGUAUUUCGAAAGAAUUCACUUUUAUACUCAAUUUUAUUAUCUAUGUAAAUUUUUAUCGCGCGGUAAUCAACUUUGCGAUUCCGAUUCUCGUGAUUGACAAUCGGUCGGAAAAUUUUCAUAGCCGAAAAUUUUCUUUGGACCUCGCGAAAUAUGCGCACAGUUUCGGUUCGCUUUUUUGUGUCGUCUGCUUCCAGGCGGAUCGCCACGAGAUCCUAACGGUAUACAUCGGCUCCGGCAGCGGCGAUGGAAUGGGACGGAAUGGGACGGGGAUGGCGACGGUUCAGUGACCGACCGACCGACCGAUCGACUACGCUGUACCAAGCCGAAGGAAGACGAAGGCGAGCGCACGUGGAUGAAGGAGGGUGGCGGUAGUAUUGCGUCUCGCGCUCGAGGGAUAAACGAACCGACGCAGCCGACAUUCUUUACUUUUCUUUGACGAUGCAUAACAAUGGCAGCGGAAAUAUUGGCGACAAGCGAGAUCGUCUAUGGAAAUCAUCUUUUCGCAAGGGGCACAGAAAAAUAUCUUUUGAAAACACGGAAGAAGGCUAGGGAAACUCGAAAUUAUACUGAAAUAUAUUUAUUAUGUUAAAAAUAAGAAAAUGAUAUUUUGAUACGAGAAAGUCGAACGUAUAAAUGUAUAUUAUAUAUAUAUCAAAAUAAAUGCAUAUUAGUAUUUAGCAUUAAUUAAAACCGAAGAUGAAUGAGUAGUUUCAAAAAUAUUAAAUUAACUAUCAAGAAGCCUUAUAAUAUUAUA